GAUGAACGCUGGCGGCGUGCCUAAUACAUGCAAGUCGAGCGAACAGACGAGGAGCUUGCUCCUCUGACGUUAGCGGCGGACGGGUGAGUAACACGUGGAUAACCUACCUAUAAGACUGGGAUAACUUCGGGAAACCGGAGCUAAUACCGGAUAAUAUAUUGAACCGCAUGGUUCAAUAGUGAAAGACGGUUUUGCUGUCACUUAUAGAUGGAUCCGCGCCGCAUUAGCUAGUUGGUAAGGUAGCGGCUUACCAAGGCAACGAUGCGUAGCUGACCUGAGAGGGUGAUCGGCCACACUGGAACUGAGACACGGUCCAGACUCCUACGGGAGGCAGCAGUAGGGAAUCUUCCGCAAUGGGCGAAAGCCUGACGGAGCAACGCCGCGUGAGUGAUGAAGGUCUUCGGAUCGUAAAACUCUGUUAUUAGGGAAGAACAAAUGUGUAAGUAACUAUGCACGUCUUGACGGUACCUAAUCAGAAAGCCACGGCUAACUACGUG
rnacentral:rRNA from 1 species